rnacentral:misc_RNA from 4 species
CAAUGCUCAGGACUGAUGAGUCCGUGAGGACGAAACUCUAAGGCUU